rnacentral:rRNA from 1 species
UACGUAGGGGGCGAGCGUUGUCCGGAUUUAUUGGGCGUAAAGAGCUCGUAGGCGGUUUGGUAAGUCGGGUGUGAAAUCUCCACGCUCAACGUGGAGGGGCCACUUGAUACUGCCCUGACUAGAGUCCGGUAGAGGAGUAUGGAAUUCCCGGUGUAGCGGUGAAAUGCGCAGAUAUCGGGAGGAACACCAGUGGCGAAGGCGGCUACCUGGACCAGCACUGACACUGAAGCACGAAAGCGUGGGGAGCAAACAGG